ensembl:lncRNA novel transcript, antisense to GRHL1
CGUCCGGCCCUCCUCACCCAUGGGCAGGGGCUCAUAGAGGAGAGAGGCAGAGGCAGGAAGGAGAGCAGCGGACUGUGCUCAUCCCUCAGCUAGGCCUGUCCCCUCCAGGCUGCGGCCAGGACCGCACAGCCCCCACCGAACACAGGUGCGGGACGUCCGCCAGGCUUCUAGAUUGUUUCCAGAUUGCUGCUGAGUUUGUUUCAACAGCAGAUGCGGAAGCCCGGCUGCUGCCACCGCAUCCCAGUGCCCUUCCAAAGCCACCUGCUGCGGACAGAAGCAGUUUCAUACACAGAGGAUUCCAGAACAACCAGAGGCGAGCCCUGGACAGGGAGAGCAGGAGGGGCUCUGCGCACGGGCUUGGCUGGCAGUCGGUAGGUGUUCACCAGGGCAAGGGCAAGGGGGGCACUCUUGCCGGGGAGCUGUGCAGGCAGAGGUGGGCAAGGGCAGAGCCGUGUCCACAGGGACCCACUGGGAGCUGCCAUCUCACACAGAGACAGGGUCCUGCCAACUCUGGAUGCAGGCAGACUGGAGCUGGGGGAAGCCAGGAGAAGGAGAUGGAGACAGAUGUUUGCAGGUAGAGAGAGAUCCAGGUCAUCUUUUCAUGAAAAAACCCAGCUUCAUUGAGAUAUAAUUCAUAUACAAUGAACUGCACCUACUUCAAGUGUACCAUUUGGGGAUUACAGAGUUGAUCCUACUUACAGCUUCCAUCAAGCCCUUCAAAGAUGGGGUUUUGAGCAUCAGGGCAUCAAAGACUUCUUCUGACUCCUUUCGAACGUAGAGCAGCACUAAUCAAUCCCCAACCAGGAAUAAGGAAGGGAAAAGAGAGGAAAAAAAGGAUACAGUUCACAUGAGCAAAA